AAGUGUUUAAGCAGGACAAAGGUGGACUUAAAUAUGUAAGUCAUUAAUGUAGAUUGAAAAAAAAUGGGGCUGCUGUAGACCUAAAUUUUUAACAGAAUCUCUUUCUAGCAGAAACUCUGAUCAGGGGAAUUUUGAAGAACAUGGCUGGAAUUUCAAGACCUCUUGAGGUACUGGCAGCUUUGAUGCGUCCCACCCAGCAGCUGUGUGACCAAAGGUCUCAGAUGUGCUCCCCUGCUGGAGACAGAAAUCUAUAGACCAUUUCUGCCUAGUUUUCGAAGACAGUAUUGCUUUUUGCAGCCACAGGGUGCAAACUUUGCCAUGAGUCUUACAGAGGCUGCAUUUCAUGAAUGUGUUUCAUAGACAUCUUUUCCUUCAGUGAUGGAAGCUCAUUCACAGUUCAUCAUUUAGCAGUUGAUGUAAACUGGAUGGACUGAUUCAACAGGCUUCCCUUUAUGACUGUAUUUAUCUCCCAGGGAAGACUUGCUUCUUCAAAUUCACAGGGGACAGUGAAGCUCAGGUUGCCUGUUACCGUCUCUCAUACCCAAGAGAUGCAAUCUAGCUUGUGGUUGUGAAAAUCAGUUUACCAUUUUACACGCACCAUAAAACCAUCAUUAGAAUCAUAGAAUAUCCCGAGUUGGAAGGGACCCGUAAAGAUCAUCAAGUCUAACUCCUGGCACCGCACAGGUCUAC